AGGAUGGGAUUAAGCAAUGAAUGUCAGCCUGUAUGUGGACACUUGGGCUGUCAGGAGCUGGUAGUGUAACCGGGAUCUCUUUUU
rnacentral:ncRNA from 2 species